GACAGAGGGUGCAAACGUUGUUCGGAAUUACUGGGCGUAAAGCGAGUGUAGGCGGUUUGGUAAGUCGGAUGUGAAAGCCCCGGGCUCAACCCGGGAAGUGCACUCGAUACUGUCAAGCUAGAGUAUCGGAGAGGUUGGUGGAAUUCUCGGUGUAGAGGUGAAAUUCGUAGAUAUCGAGAGGAACACCGGUGGCGAAGGCGGCCAACUGGACGAAUACUGACGCUGAGACUCGAAAGCGUGGGGAGCAAACAGG
rnacentral:rRNA from 1 species